rnacentral:rRNA from 1 species
UACGUAGGGGGCAAGCGUUGUCCGGAAUCAUUGGGCGUAAAGCGCGCGUAGGUGGCCCUAUAAGUCCGCUGUGAAAGUCAAAGGCUCAACCUUUGAAAGCCGGUGGAUACUGUAGGACUAGAGUACGGAAGAGGCGAGUGGAAUUCCUGGUGUAGCGGUGGAAUGCGCAGAUAUCAGGAGGAACACCAAUAGCGAAGGCAGCUCGCUGGGACGUUACUGACACUGAGGCGCGAAAGCGUGGGGAGCGAACAGG